UCCGAGUUGACCCCGGCAGUCUCUCACGAGUCCCCGCCAUUACGCGCUGGCAACAUAGAACGAGGGUUGCGCUCGUUGCGGGACUUAACCCAACAUCUCACGACACGAGCUGACGACAACCAUGCACCACCUGUGCACUAGCCCCGAAGGGGGGCCGUAUUUCUACGGCUUUCCAGUGCAUGUCAAGCCUUGGUAAGGUUCUUCGCGUUGCGUCGAAUUAAACCACAUGCUCCGCUGCUUGUGCGGGCCCCCGUCAAUUCCUUUGAGUUUUAGCCUUGCGGCCGUACUCCCCAGGCGGGGCACUUAAUGCGUUAGCGUCGGCACGGGAGGAGUCGACACCUCCCACACCUAGUGCCCAUCGUUUACGGCGUGGACUAC
rnacentral:misc_RNA from 1 species